rnacentral:rRNA from 1 species
AUUGAACGCUAACGGCAUGCUUAACACAUGCAAGUCGAACGGCAGCACAGUAGUAGCAAUACUAUGGGUGGCGAGUGGCGGACGGGUGAGUAAUACAUAGGAAUCUGCCUUAUAGUGGGGGAUAACCCGGGGAAACUCGGGCUAAUACCGCAUAAUCUCUACGGAGCAAAGUGUGGGACCUUCGGGCCAUACGCUAAAAGAUGAGCCUAUGUCGGAUUAGCUAGUUGGUGGGGUAAAGGCCUACCAAGGCAACGAUCCGUAGCUGGUCUGAGAGGAUGAUCAGCCACACUGGGACUGAGACACGGCCCAGACUCCUACGGGAGGCAGCAGUGGGGAAUAUUGGACAAUGGGCGAAAGCCUGAUCCAGCAAUGCCGUGUGUGUGAAGAAGGCCUUCGGGUUGUAAAGCACUUUUAGUUGGGAAGAAAAGUUCAUGGCUAAUAUCCAUGAAUGCUGACGUUACCAACAGAAAAAGCACUGGCUAACUCUGUGCCAGCCGCCGCAGUAA